AAAAGAAAAGCUGGAUGUGGUGACCCAGGAGUUUGAGGCUGCAGUGAGCCAAGAUGGAGAUGCCCAGCUGGCAGGUGGCUGUGUGACCCUGGGACAGGUGUGGGCUAGAGAUAUUGGUGUAAGAGCUGACAGCACACUGGUGGCAUUUGAAGCCAUGCGAGUGAACAAGAUUCACCAGGGAGGGUCUGUUGAGUGAGGAGAGCAGGGCCAGAGACCACACCCUAGGGACAGUUUUAACCAUCACUUCACUGUAAAAAGUCUGCAAAUGCAUUUAAACGGGGAAGGUUGCUUUU
rnacentral:lncRNA from 1 species